AUGAACGCUAGCUACAGGCUUAACACAUGCAAGUCGAGGGGCAGCAUUUCAGUUUGCUUGCAAACUGGAGAUGGCGACCGGCGCACGGGUGAGUAACACGUAUCCAACCUGCCGAUAACUCGGGGAUAGCCUUUCGAAAGAAAGAUUAAUACCCGAUGGUAUAAUCAGACCGCAUGGUCUUGUUAUUAAAGAAUUUCGGUUAUCGAUGGGGAUGCGUUCCAUUAGGCAGUUGGUGAGGUAACGGCUCACCAAACCUUCGAUGGAUAGGGGUUCCGAGAGGAAGGUCCCCCACAUUGGAACUGAGACACGGUCCAAACUCCUACGGGAGGCAGCAGUGAGGAAUAUUGGUCAAUGGGCGCAGGCCUGAACCAGCCAAGUAGCGUGAAGGAUGACUGCCCUAUGGGUUGUAAACUUCUUUUAUAUGGGAAUAAAGUUUUCCACGUGUGGAAUUUUGUAUGUACCAUAUGAAUAAGGAUCGGCUAACUCCGUGCCAGCAGCCGCGGUAAUACGGAGGAUCCGAGCGUUAUCCGGAUUUAUUGGGUUUAAAGGGAGCGUAGGUGGACAGUUAAGUCAGUUGUGAAAGUUUGCGGCUCAACCGUAAAAUUGCAGUUGAUACUGGCUGUCUUGAGUACAGUAGAGGUGGGCGGAAUUCGUGGUGUAGCGGUGAAAUGCUUAGAUAUCACGAAGAACUCCGAUUGCGAAGGCAGCUCACUGGACUGCAACUGACACUGAUGCUCGAAAGUGUGGGUAUCAAACAGGAUUAGAUACCCUGGUAGUCCACACAGUAAACGAUGAAUACUCGCUGUUUGCGAUAUACAGUAAGCGGCCAAGCGAAAGCAUUAAGUAUUCCACCUGGGGAGUACGCCGGCAACGGUGAAACUCAAAGGAAUUGACGGGGGCCCGCACAGGCGGAGGAACAUGUGGUUUAAUUCGAUGAUACGCGAGGAACCUUACCCGGGCUUAAAUUGCAUUUGAAUAAUCUGGAAACAGGUUAGCCGCAAGGCAAAUGUGAAGGUGCUGCAUGGUUGUCGUCAGCUCGUGCCGUGAGGUGUCGGCUUAAGUGCCAUAACGAGCGCAACCCUUAUCUUUAGUUACUAACAGGUCAUGCUGAGGACUCUAGAGAGACUGCCGUCGUAAGAUGUGAGGAAGGUGGGGAUGACGUCAAAUCAGCACGGCCCUUACGUCCGGGGCUACACACGUGUUACAAUGGGGGGUACAGAAGUCAGCUACGUGGUGACAGGAUGCUAAUCCCAAAAGCCUCUCUCAGUUAGGAUCGAAGUCUGCAACCCGACUUCGUGAAGCUGGAUUCGAUAGUAAUUGCGCAUCAGCCAUGGCGCGGUGAAUACGUUCCCGGGCCUUGUACACACCCACUGUCAAGCCAUGUAAUCCGGGGGUUCCUGAAGUACGUAUCCGCAAGGAG
rnacentral:rRNA from 1 species